rnacentral:rRNA from 1 species
AUUGAACGCUGGCGGCAGGCCUAACACAUGCAAGUCGAGCGGUUGAGGUAGCUUGCUACCGAUGCAGCGGCGAACGGGUGAGUAAUACAUGGGAAUCUGCCUGGUAGUGGGGGACAACGUUUCGAAAGGAACGCUAAUACCGCAUACGCCCUACGGGGGAAAGGGGGGAUCGCAAGACCUCUCGCUAUCAGAUGAGCCCA